rnacentral:rRNA from 1 species
GAUGAACGCUGGCGGCGUGCUUAACACAUGCAAGUCGAGCGCCCCGCAAGGGGAGCGGCAGACGGGUGAGUAACGCGUGGGAACGUACCCUUUGCUACGGAAUAGCUCCGGGAAACUGGAAUUAAUACCGUAUGUGCCCUACGGGGGAAAGAUUUAUCGGCAAAGGAUCGGCCCGCGUUGGAUUAGCUAGUUGGUGGGGUAAUGGCCUACCAAGGCGACGCUCCAUAGCUGGUCUGAGAGGAUGCUCAGCCACAUUGGGACUGAGACACGGCCCAGAGUGCUGCAGGAAGCAGCAGUGGGGAAUAUGGGACAAUGGGCGCAGACCUGAUACAGCCAUGCAGCGUGAGUGAUGAAGGCCUUAGAGUUGUAAAGCUCUUUCGCCGGAGAAGAUAAUGACGGUAUCCGGACAAGAAACCCCGGCUAACUUCGUGCCAGCAGCCGCAGUAACAC